CUAAGCCUUUGAAUCCCUUCUUCUACACUAACCAUGGGCGGCCAGGCAUGUCCAGUUAUCCCAUGGUGGGCCAUGUUUUGGCCCAUGUUUCAGCCAAGCAGCCAACCAACCAAUUAGAGCCCUUUCUAAAUGCGGAAUCUCUGCUUAGUGAGCCCGUAUCAAUAAACUUGGCCUGAUCUAACUCUGUGUUCCUCCUACCAUUCUCCCAGGCCCUCAAUAUGCAUUCCCACGGUCCUGGGAUUUCUAUGUAAACUGGAAAACUCACGUUCUCUUUGCAGACACCGUGAGGCUGGGAGUUCCACAUGUGCUAUAAUCCAGCCACUGGAAGGGCGAGAUUCUGGGUUUGAUUUUCAGUAGUCUCAGACCCGCAGCUAAAGGAGGAACACAGGAGCAGUGACAGAGUCCAGGCUCUGAGGCCACCCCAGGAGCGCCAGACAGGGAGUCUCGCCCGCACCCAGCUUGGUUCCGCCUCCUGACCCCACACCACAGCCUGAGGUCACUGCCCCUCCCCAGGUGUGGUCUGAGGCACUCCAGCACAUGCUGUGGCAACAAGACAAGCCCGGAGGCAGGACCAGACCCCGCCUGGACUCCCAUCCCUGGACUCAGCCUUCCCGCUCCAGCAGCCUG
rnacentral:lncRNA from 1 species